UACGUAGGUGGCAAGCGUUGUCCGGAAUUAUUGGGCGUAAAGCGCGCGCAGGUGGUUUCUUAAGUCUGAUGUGAAAGCCCACGGCUCAACCGUGGAGGGUCAUUGGAAACUGGGGAACUUGAGUGCAGAAGAGGAAAGUGGAAUUCCAAGUGUAGCGGUGAAAAUGCGUAGAGAUUUGGAGGAACACCAGUGGCGAAGGCGACUUUCUGGUCUGUAA
rnacentral:rRNA from 1 species